rnacentral:lncRNA from 1 species
AGUAGAGAGUGGUGGAGAGAAAGAGAGAAGGUCAGAGAGGUCAGUAAAGUCCAGACCAUGCACAGCUUCAGGUCAGGUGAAGAAUGGGAAGCUAUUGGCAGAUUUUAAGCAGGGGAAUGUCAUGAUCUAAUGUUUUCAAAAGACCACUCUAGCAGGAGUGUGGUGGAGUGAGAGUGGGUGUGGGAAGAGCAGUUAUAUGACCAUUUAAGCGAUCUUAGCAGACAUGAUGGCAGCUCUGCAAUGAAGACCAGGAGAUGAACACGGGAUACAUUUUGGAGUUGUAGCUGAUCGGGCAUACUGAUGGAUUAGAGGGGGGUAGCAGUAAGCAAGUGGUUGAUGCUGUUAGCUGGGACUCAACUGGGGCUAUCUGCCAGAACUCACACAUGUGGUCUCCUCAUGUGGCAUGGACUCCCUCACAUCAUGGCAACCUAAGACUUCUUAUAUAGCAGCUCCAGGCUCCAAAGGGGUCUUUGAAGAGUUCACCCAGGAGCUUCAAAAUGAGGAACAGUGCUUGCAAUUUCCUUGAAUACUAAGAACAUCCAGCUAUUUGUAGACAGAUAAAAGAGAGCAGCCCCCAGAGGUGCUGAUCCAGCCAAGAUAGCUCAUCCAGUUCUCAACAGGACUAAAGGACUUAUCCUAUGCCUAGUUUUUCACUCCCCUCAGAGGGUCAGGUGAACUGGGGAGCAAGAGGAACUGGCGCCUUUCCCUACUUCUCUUUCAAUUCGUUUAUUGAGGUAACUGCACUGGGGAAAAGAUUAUAUCCAAAACUUUUGGAUUGCUCGACAUUAGAUGUUAACUCUGAGCUAAUACUAAUUUCCAGGGACCCAGAAUGAACUUAUCAAUGGAUAUCAGGAAUGGAGAUGACACAUGAAUAAGCACAGUAACAAGGAUUUCCCCUCACCAGGAUGACGUGGCCUUUGCCAUUGCUGAGAACCCAUUUUGCACGCAAUGUUUUCCCGGAUAAUAAAUGACACAGCUGGGAUUUAUUCAGGUGUUCUGACUCCAAAGUCCUUGCUCCUGAUCACCAUGCGCUACCGACUUUGAGCAGUGAUGUCUCACAGAUGGGAAUGAUUCCUCUGAAGAUUGAAUAGAGAAUGCCACCAUGUGAAGUGAUAUUUGAGCUGGAACCUGAGUGAAUGAUGGAAUGGAGAAGUCAGGUACAGAGCUGUGGGGAUAGCAUCACAGGUAGGUGGGAUAGGACAGGCAAACCUCCGGAGGUGGGAGCAGAAUUGGUGCAUUGGCUGUGGUACCUUUCCAUGAUUUCCUCAUUCCAGUGUUCAUAUCUUUAGAAGAUCUCAACCCAUUGAUUGUAGGUGAUAUCUGUGAUUUACUCUAGCCAAUCUAUAUAACAUGACAAAAAUGAUGGAUGUCACUCCUGUAAUUAUUUUAUGUGAUGAUCCA